UGGAUCCAGACUUUGAUUAUGGCUCAGGACGAACGCUGGCGGCGCGCCUAACACAUGCAAGUCGAACGGAGAUUACAGGCGGAAGUUUUCGGAUGGAAGCUUGUAAACUUAGUGGCGGACGGGUGAGUAACACGUGAGCAACCUGCCUAUCAGAGGGGGAUAACGAUUGGAAACGAUCGCUAAUACCGCAUGACAUAGCGGAACCGCAUGGUUCUGUUAUCAAAGAUUUUAUCGCUGAUAGAUGGGCUCGCGUCCGAUUAGAUAGUUGGUGGGGUAACGGCCUACCAAGUCGACGAUCGGUAGCCGGACUGAGAGGUCGAACGGCCACAUUGGGACUGAGACACGGCCCAGACUCCUACGGGAGGCAGCAGUGGGGGAUAUUGCACAAUGGAGGAAACCCUGAUGCAGCGACGCCGCGUGAGGGAAGACGGUCCUCUGGAUUGUAAACCUCUGUCUUCGGGGACGAAACGAGACGGUACCCGAGGAGGAAGCCACGGCUAACUACGUGCCAGCAGCCGCGGUAAUACGUAGGUGGCAAGCGUUGUCCGGAAUUACUGGGUGUAAAGGGAGCGUAGGCGGGCAGGCAAGUCAGGCGUGAAAUAUACCGGCUCAACCGGUAACGGCGCUUGAAACUGCAGGUCUUGAGUGAAGUAGAGGUCGGCGGAAUUCCUAGUGUAGCGGUGAAAUGCGUAGAUAUUAGGAGGAACACCAGUGGCGAAGGCGGCCAACUGGGCUUUUACUGACGCUGAGGCUCGAAAGUGUGGGGAGCAAACAGGAUUAGAUACCCUGGUAGUCCACACCGUAAACGAUGAUUACUAGGUGUGGGGGGACUGACCCCUUCCGUGCCGGAGUUAACACAAUAAGUAAUCCACCUGGGGAGUACGGCCGCAAGGUUGCAACUCAAAGGAAUUGACGGA
rnacentral:rRNA from 1 species